AGGAUAAUAGUUUUAUAACAUCUAAUUUGCACUUAGAAGACGCUAUUUAAAUAGCUUAUCUUA
rnacentral:tRNA from 1 species